UACGGGGGGGCAAGCGUUGUUCGGAAUUACUGGGCGUAAAGGGCGCGUAGGCGGUUGGAUAAGUCAGCUGUGAAAACCACGGGCUCAACCUGGGAAUGGCGAUGGAUACUGGCUCGCUAGAGUGCGGUAGAGGAGAGUGGAAUUCCCGGUGUAGCAGUGAAAUGCGUAGAGAUCGGGAGGAACAUCAGUUGCGAAGGCGGCUCUCUGGACCAGCACUGACACUGAGGCACGAAAGCGUGGGGAGCAAACAGG
rnacentral:rRNA from 1 species